UGCCCUAUGGUGUAGUGGUAGCACGAGAGGCUCUAACCCUCUAGGUCCGGGUUCGAUUCGGUGGUAGGGCGACCA
rnacentral:tRNA from 1 species